GCCGCGGUAAGACGAACCGUGCAAACGUUAUUCGGAAUCACUGGGCUUAAAGGGCGCGUAGGCGGGUGAUCAAGUCAAUGGUGAAAUCCUCCAGCUUAACUGGAGAAGUGCCUUUGAUACUGAUUGUCUAGAGGGAAGUAGGGGCAUGUGGAACUUCAGGUGGAGCGGUGAAAUGCGUAGAUAUCUGAAGGAACGCCAGUGGCGAAAGCGAUGUGCUGGACCUCUUCUGACGCUUAGGCGCGAAAGCUAGGGGAUCAAACGGGAUUAGAUACCCCGGUAGUCCUAGCCCUAAACUAUGGGUACUAGAUUGUGGACUUUCAUGGGUUCACAGUCGAAGCAAAAGUGUUAAGUACCCCGCCUGGGGAGUAUGGUCGCAAGGCUGAAACUCAAAGGAAUUGACGGGGGCUCACACAAGCGGUGGAGCAUGUGGCUUAAUUCGAGGCUACGCGAAGAACCUUAUCCUGGAAUUGACAUAUUGUGAAAACGGUAGGAAGUAAUUGCCGGAAACGGCCAAUGAACGGUAUCCAAUCCGGAACUUACCACAGGUGCUGCAUGGCUUUCGUCAGCUCGUGUCGUGAGAUGUCUGGUUAAGUCCGAUAACGAGCGCAACCCUUGU
rnacentral:rRNA from 1 species